rnacentral:rRNA from 1 species
UACAUAGGGUGCAAGCGUUAAUCGGAAUUACUGGGCGUAAAGCGUGCGCAGGCGGUUUUGUAAGUCUGUCGUGAAAGCCCCGGGCUUAACCUGGGAAUUGCGAUGGAGACUGCAAGGCUUGAAUCUGGCAGAGGGGGGUAGAAUUCCACGUGUAGCAGGUGAAAUGCGUAGAGAUGUGGAGGAACACCGAUGGCGAAGGCAGCCCCCUGGGUCAAGAUUG